CCAACAGUGUUAGUUCGCG
rnacentral:misc_RNA from 1 species